rnacentral:rRNA from 1 species
GGUUAAUAUUCCUGUACUUGGUGUUACUGCGAAGGGGGGACGGAGAAGGCUAUGUUGGCCGGGCGACGGUUGUCCCGGUUUAAGCGUGUAGGCUGGUUUUCCAGGCAAAUCCGGAAAAUCAAGGCUGAGGCGUGAUGACGAGGCACUACGGUGCUGAAGCGACAAAUGCCCUGCUUCCAGGAAAAGCCUCUAAGCAUCAGGUAACAUCAAAUCGUACCCCAAACCGACACAGGUGGUCAGGUAGAGAAUACCAAGGCGCUUGAGAGAACUCGGGUGAAGGAACUAGGCAAAAUGGUGCCGUAACUUCGGGAGAAGGCACGCUGAUAUGUAGGUGAAGCGACUUGCUCGUGGAGCUGAAAUCAGUCGAAGAUACCAGCUGGCUGCAACUGUUUAUUAAAAACACAGCACUGUGCAAACACGAAAGUGGACGUAUACGGUGUGACGCCUGCCCGGUGCCGGAAGGUUAAUUGAUGGGGUUAGCGGCAACGCGAAGCUCUUGAUCGAAGCCCCGGUAAACGGCGGCCGUAACUAUAACGGUCCUAAGGUAGCGAAAUUCCUUGUCGGGUAAGUUCCGACCUGCACGAAUGGCGUAAUGAUGGCCAGGCUGUCUCCACCCGAGACUCAGUGAAAUUGAACUCGCUGUGAAGAUGCAGUGUACCCGCGGCAAGACGGAAAGACCCCGUGAACCUUUACUAUAGCUUGACACUGAACAUUGAGCCUUGAUGUGUAGGAUAGGUGGGAGGCUUUGAAGUGUGGACGCCAGUCUGCAUGGAGCCGACCUUGAAAUACCACCCUUUAAUGUUUGAUGUUCUAACGUGGGCCCCUUACCGGGGUUGCGGACAGUGUCUGGUGGGUAGUUUGACUGGGGCGGUCUCCUCCUAAAGAGUAACGGAGGAGCACGAAGGUUGGCUAAUCCUGGUCGGACAUCAGGAGGUUAGUGCAAUGGCAUAAGCCAGCUUGACUGCGAGCGUGACGGCGCGAGCAGGUGCGAAAGCAGGUCAUAGUGAUCCGGUGGUUCUGAAUGGAAGGGCCAUCGCUCAACGGAUAAAAGGUACUCCGGGGAUAACAGGCUGAUACCGCCCAAGAGUUCAUAUCGACGGCGGUGUUUGGCACCUCGAUGUCGGCUCAUCACAUCCUGGGGCUGAAGUAGGUCCCAAGGGUAUGGCUGUUCGCCAUUUAAAGUGGUACGCGAGCUGGGUUUAGAACGUCGUGAGACAGUUCGGUCCCUAUCUGCCGUGGGCGCUGGAGAACUGAGGGGGGCUGCUCCUAGUACGAGAGGACCGGAGUGGACGCAUCACUGGUGUUCGGGUUGUCAUGCCAAUGGCACUGCCCGGUAGCUAAAUGCGGAAGAGAUAAGUGCUGAAAGCAUCUAAGCACGAAACUUGCCCCGAGAUGAGUUCUCCCUGACUCCUUGAGAGUCCUGAAGGAACGUUGAAGACGACGACGUUGAUAGGCCGGGUGUGUAAGCGCAGCGAUGCGUUGAGCUAACCGGUACUAAUGAACCGUGAGGCUUAACCUUACAACGCCGAAG